rnacentral:rRNA from 1 species
UACGAAGGGGACUAGCGUUGUUCGGAAUCACUGGGCGUAAAGCGCACGUAGGCGGAAUUGUAAGUCAGGGGUGAAAUCCCGGGGCUCAACCUCGGAACUGCCUUUGAUACUGCGAUUCUCGAGUUCGAUAGAGGUGGGUGGAAUUCCUAGUGUAGAGGUGAAAUUCGUAGAUAUUAGGAAGAACACCGGUGGCGAAGGCGGCCCACUGGAUCGAUACUGACGCUGAGGUGCGAAAGCGUGGGGAGCAAACAGG